GGAUGUUCAGACUACAGGCCACCAGUUUCCUCUAUUUUGUCCUUUGUUUUUCCUCCCUCUUUGCAUUUUGAUUAGAGCCUCCAAGUAUUUGUAGAUGGAUGUUUCAGCUUCAGGAAACUUCUAUCAGUCGGUCUUUGUAGUUGCUUGUACUUUAGUUGCGGUUGCUUUCAUCUUGUAUCAUAUAAUCUGCUGUAUAUGCUUGCCUAGUUCGUGACAACCAGGAAUUUGC
rnacentral:lncRNA from 1 species